AGCUGGGCUUGAGAAUAUGUGUGCAGAAGGACAAAGAGAUUGAUGAUUAUCUGUGAGAUUGAAGGGAUAGUUUCUGAGACGUGGGACUUGCAAGCUGUGACAGCCAUAUUUGUUUUGGGCAUAGGAUUAAGCAUUGGUGCCCAGUGGUUUUUGUAUGCUCCAUACGAUACCCCUAAGCUAGCGUGGACAGCUAGACUUCCUAUUGGAUUACUACAGACCAUCAUAUCCCAGCUAAAGAAUCCGUUUCACCCCAUUGGAUGACCCUCGACACGUGGUACGCCACACACGCUCAGACGCAACAACAGCGUC